rnacentral:misc_RNA from 1 species
AAGUCGUAACAAGGUUUCCGUAGGUGAACCUGCGGAAGGAUCAUUAUUGAAUACGAAUUGGAGUUGAUGCUGGCCUUCGGGUAUGUGCUCGCUGCAAGUCUAUUUAUCUUCUCUUGUGCACCUCUUGUAGUCCUUUGAACCAAGUGAACCCUUCGCAGCAAUGCGGUUUGGGGGAUUUGAGCUUAACCCGCUCUUCCCCUGCUUGCUUUCUUCAAGGCUAUGUUUUCAUAUACACGAUAUAAAGUUACAGAAUGUCUUUUAACGGCUGCUUUGCAGUCAUUAAACCUAUACAACUUUCAGCAACGGAUCUCUUGGCUCUC